CCCCAGGGGUCAUGAUUUGAACAAUUUAGAAUCUACACUAUCCCAGAAUGCUUCCACAUAAGUUUCAGCUUUUCUGGCCCAGUGGUUCUUCAGAAGAAGAUUUUUAAAGAUUUUUACUACAUAUUUCAAUGUAAAACUUGGAUUCCCUAUUGUGGCCUGCCCUACCCCCGGAGGUCAUGAUUUGAAAAAUUUAGAAUCUAUACUACCCCAGGAUGCUUCCACAUAAGUUUCAGCUUUUCUGGUCCAGUAGUUCUUGAGAAGAAGAUUUUUUAAUGACCCACCCAAUUUUGGUAUUUUCUUGAUUAUCUCCCCUUUGAAGGGGACUUGGCCCUUCAUUUUAACAAUUUAAACUCCCCUUCACCCAAGGAUGCUUUGUACCAAGUUCGGUUAAAAUUGGCCCAGUGGUUCUUCAGAAGAAGUCGAAAAUGUGAAAAGUUUACAGAC